ensembl:lncRNA
UGGAGAGAGGUGAGAAGAGAGAAAUGAGAAAGCGGGAGACCGAGAAAGUGUUUUUGCUGGAUGUAGUUGUUGUGGUCUGAGAACUCCUGGCAUAUGCUGCUGUUGGCACUCAACCACAACCACCCACCACUUCCUUUGUGUGAGUUUUCCUGAACCCCUUUGACCCACAACCUCGAGUGUUUCACCAGCUACAUUGAAAA